GUUAUCCACACCUGCCACCAUCAAAUAACAGCAGUGCGGUCUCGAACGCAUGCCGAAACUCCAUGGAAGUGAAGCGAGUGAAACGAAGUGAAACAAAGGGAUCUGCUGCAGCAACCCCUGAAAAAACCUGCCGCCACACAUUCUGCUGUGAGCUCCUCUGAGGGCACCGCUGGACACAACACACCUGACGCUGAUGAGGACUCCACUCCCUUCAUAAGCCAGCGUGUCCUGUGUUCCAGUGCCAGAACAUAGCUACUUGUACCAGUACACUCGGCGUCAUUCCUUGGUUUCGAGAAGUGUGUCUCGUCUCCCCGGAUUCCUUCUGGACUGCCUGCUGCCUCCCCGGAUCUCGACCUCUCGCCUGCCCCCGGACUACGAAGCCUCGCUCAAGCCCCUGAUCACUUGCCUGUCC